UGAGAAGUAACGAGCUGCAGAGCUGGAG
rnacentral:piRNA from 1 species